CGCGUAGGCGGCUUUAUAAGUCUGGAGUGAAAGUCCUCUUUUCAAGGGAGGAAUUGCUUUGGAAACUAUAGAGCUUGAGUGCAGGAGAGGUUAUCGGAAUUCCCGGUGUAGCGGUGAAAUGCGUAGAUAUCGGGAGGAACAUCGGUGGCGAAGGCGGGUAACUGGACUGCAACUGACGCUGAGGCGCGAAAGCGCGGGGAAGCAAACA
rnacentral:rRNA from 1 species